AUUGAACGCUGGCGGCAGGCCUAACACAUGCAAGUCGAGCGGAUGAAGGGAGCUUGCUCCUGGAUUCAGCGGCGGACGGGUGAGUAAUGCCUAGGAAUCUGCCUGGUAGUGGGGGAUAACGUCCGGAAACGGGCGCUAAUACCGCAUACGUCCUGAGGGAGAAAGUGGGGGAUCUUCGGACCUCACGCUAUCAGAUGAGCCUAGGUCGGAUUAGCUAGUUGGUGGGGUAAAGGCCUACCAAGGCGACGAUCCGUAACUGGUCUGAGAGGAUGAUCAGUCACACUGGAACUGAGACACGGUCCAGACUCCUAAGGGAGGGAGCAGUGGGGAAUAUUGGACAAUGGGCGGAAGCCUGAUACAGCCAUGCCGCGUGUGUGAAGAAGGUCUUCGGAUUGUAAAGCACUUUAAGUUGGGAGGAAGGGCAGUAAGUUAAUACCUUGCUGUUUUGACGUUACCAACAGAAUAAGCACCGGCUAACUUCGUG
rnacentral:rRNA from 1 species